AGCCAUGAUGUUCUCCGUCCGCCAGGGCUCUGAGAGCAGAAGGGGGCUAGCCUCCCUGCUUCCACACUAAACCUCUCGUUUUGCCUGUUCAGCCUAUGGGGCCUUGAGCCAUGGGCAAGAUGGAUGAAAAUGGGAUGAAAGCUGAUAGGAUCUGGAUGAAUCAGCAUAGUGGUAGCAGAUCACAAAAAAAUAAUGCCUCAUUAGCAUGAUCGGAGACCUCAAGCAUAAAAUCUAUGGUGUGACAAGGACUUUGCAGCUUAAAAUGUAAUACUUUCAGUAAUACCACUGUGGCCAGUAAGACUCAGCUUUUUGUUAGCUAAGUGCAUUUGAAAGCAUGGUUAUCACAAAAAAGGAUUUUUGAUUGGAUAAAACUAGAGUGAUGAAUCCCUGGAAAAUAAAAAGCAGCUAAUGGUCACCGCCAAACAAGUUCUGGAAGUCAUGGAAAGCAAACAAGAAACAAUGAAGGAGAGACAAACAGAGGUCAAGCGAAAAAGGCGUUCUAGAGUUCACCCAAGGCUUGCGAUAUUUGGAUGUUCGUACCCACUGCAGAUUUUCUAAAGACCGAACCGCCUUUCUUCGGCAGCUAGCUGGCGCUGUUUGAGGAUGGCAGACAUAUCUGUGUUUCUCAGAGACGGCUGCCAAACUGCACCCUGUGUGAUAAAGGCUCAGUGGAUGCUACCAUAUCGCUAAUUCAAAUAUCAAUGCAUCACACUUUCUCUUUCGAUCUUAUCCAUCUUCUCUAUGGAAUCUAAUGACUCAUUAACGCUGAUGGCUCUGUUUUAUACUGCAUACAAUAACUUUCCUUAAAAUGGUCGUAAAUUGGCCUAGUCUCUAUUAAGAUUGCAUGCUUCGUGCUCAUGUUUGACAUGUGAGGCUCUACCGGGUUUAAUAACGUAAUCAAGUUAUUUAUGUACUCAUCCAUUUCUCUUCCUUCUCUUGUCCCUUAAUCAAAUUUUAACAUACGACUGCAUCUGUGUGAUCUGUGUUUUUUUUCCAAGGGAAAUAAUAGCAAUAAAAUCAAUAAAUCUGA